GAGGUCACGUGGCUUUCAGGGAGUUGAGCGUCUGAAGUCCAUGGGUGGAGGUGGGGUGGGGUUACACCGAGAGAAAAGACAUGGGCAGACACCUCCUUCAGAGCAUGUAGAGUAACCGUAAGAAUCUAAGCCAAAGAUGAUCCAGGCUGAGUGUGAGAUCUGACGCUGGCAUGGUGGCACCAUUCAUCAUGACUGAAUUUCACGAUUUGAGAGGAAUGAGACAAGAUAUACUAGGUCCAUGGCAGAGGAACUGGUAUCACUGCCCCAAUUUCACAGACGGGAGGAUAGUGUUGGAGAGUGUAAGCGAUCUGCCCAUGUCACACAGCAAGUAAGUGGCAAAGGUGAAAUGUAAAUCCAGCAAUCUAUUGAGUUACAUGGAGAUGGAUAUUUAUCUAUUCGCCAAGUUGCCUUAUUCCCUGGGCAGAAAACAACAAGCAGUUAAGAGAAACUGUUCAUUGCAACUGAUUGAUCUAAACAUGGGCAUGUGAGACUACCAUUCAGUCACAUGGAUGUAAACUACCACGAUCAACAGCUAGAAGGAGAGACAGUGGGAUGUCAUUCUAAGCCUUUCCCUAUUUUAAAAUGCUUAGCCCGGGUGCACUGCUGUGAGAGGAGCAGGCCUAGGAACCGCACAGGGGAGGACAAGGGCUCCUCAGCUCCUGGUACACACCUGUGCACUGUUCCACGUUGGCGAGCUUCCACAUGGUGAGCUUCUCGCUGUGGUCAGGCUGGCUGGGGUAGCCGGGGGCCGGGCGGAUGCCUUCGUAGCGCAGCCUCCGCAGGUCCACAACAUCCAGCUGCUCACAGCUGCAGUACGCCCACAGCUCCCUGCGGACCCGCUCGUGGAGCUCCUCCGCAAAGGCCUGCAGCCCAGGACAAGGUGUGCGUGGGCUGCGGUGCUCCCCCAACCCAAACCCCACUGGCCAUCAGACCCCGCUGGAGCACCCCCCUCGCCUGAACCACAGCCAGGAGGAACUGGGCACAAGGGGUCGGACUGGGUUCCUGACUCGCCUGUGGCUCUGUUGGCUGCUCUCUGCCCACUUGUGGCCUCACAGCCUGGGCUCUGACGUGGCCUACUCAAUGAUCUGAGGACUUGAGGACUGUGAACUGAAACAGUUCCCUGCUCGUGGCCAUGAGGAGAAGCUGGGAUGAUUAUAGCUGCCAGCUCCUCCUGCUUGGCCUCAGGAAAAGGAGAGGCGAUCUCCCCAUGGCUUAGAUGACCCUGGCCACGACACAGGAAGAUGAGCAAUCUAUGGAGGACAGCAAAUGGGAACAAGGAGCCUGGAAAUAGAAAUGUGCUCUGAUUUUUCCAGGUUCUUCAGGAAAAUAUCACAAUAAGCAAAGGGAGACAUCAGAACUGCAGCGAAGGGGUCAUGGUUCUAAGGACAGCUACAAACUAUGGCAAAGGCUUUCCUUUGCCCAAAAGAUGACGUGUGAGAGCAACUCAAGAAGAGCUGAUUUAAAAUUGUGUGUUAUGAAAAAAUAAAUAAAUAAAAAUUUAAAAAACAAAGUAAAAUUGUGUGUGAUGCUAAAGCCAGUCCCAUCUGAUUCGGUAAAAACAGCAGGACAUGGAUUCCAAGGGCUGCUUAGCAUCUGGCACCGUCAUGGGCUCCCCGCUCCACCCCCAGCGCCACUGCUUUACCUCAGCCAGCCGGUCUCCCAGAGCCUUGACCAUGAUGCUGCUGUAGUCAUCACACUCCUGCUCAUAGGCCUUGCUCAGCUCUUCCACCCCAAAGCAGGCAACGGCAAAGAGGCCCAGGUAGUCGCGGACGCCCGAAUGCAGGGGAGCAAUGAAGUCGGAGAGGCAGUGGUAGGGGUCUGUGCUGGCAGAGUCCUUCUCGGCCUUAAAACCCAAGGAGGGCACAGGUGGACCAUUAGCAUGAACAUGGCAACAACACACAGGGGACAG